rnacentral:lncRNA from 1 species
UCCCGGCGGCGACCGCGACUCCAGCUUCUCCGGCGCAAGCAGAUUUUUGCACCAACAGGAUUAGCGCUAGAGGAAGGGGGCCAUGCCUUCGCGGUACCCUUGUUCUUAAAGGAGCGCUCAAUGAGAUUAUCCCUGGGCAUCUUUUUCGGUGCCCUCUCCUCCUUCCUCCACUUGGUCUUUGCCCGAUGCCUCCCCAUAAGGCGUCCACACGGCGAUCCACGACCUCCGCAGCC